rnacentral:rRNA from 1 species
GAUGAACGCUGGCGGCGUGCCUAAUACGUGCAAGUCGAGCGAACAGACGAGGAGCUUGCUCCUCUGACGUUAGCGGCGGACGGGUGAGUAACACGUGGAUAACCUACCUAUAAGACUGGGAUAACUUCGGGAAACCGGAGCUAAUACCGGAUAAUAUAUUGAACCGCAUGGUUCAAUAGUGAAAGACGGUUUUGCUGUCACUUAUAGAUGGAUCCGCGCCGCAUUAGCUAGUUGGUAAGGUAACGGCUUACCAAGGCAACGAUGCGUAGCCGACCUGAGAGGCUGAUCGGCCACACUGGAACUGAGACACGGUCCAGACUCCUACGGGAGGCAGCAGUAGGGAAUCUUCCGCAAUGGGCGAAAGCCUGACGGAGCAACGCCGCGUGAGUGAUGAAGGUCUUCGGAUCGUAAAACUCUGUUAUUAGGGAAGAACAAAUGUGUAAGUAACUAUGCACGUCUUGACGGUACCUAAUCAGAAAGCCACGGCUAACUACGUG